UACGUAUGGAGCAAGCGUUAUCCGGAUUUACUGGGUGUAAAGGGAGCGUAGGCGGCGGGGCAAGUCUGAUGUGAAAACCCGGGGCUCAACCCCGGGACUGCAUUGGAAACUGUCCUGCUAGAGUGUCGGAGGGGUAAGUGGAAUUCCUAGUGUAGCGGUGAAAUGCGUAGAUAUUAGGAGGAACACCGGUGGCGAAGGCGGCUUACUGGACGACAACUGACGCUGAGGCUCGAAAGCGUGGGGAGCAAACAGG
rnacentral:rRNA from 1 species